AUGACUAAGGUGACGUCGAGCGUGCCAACUCCGACCAUCAUCGCCCACUUGAGCCAUCAUGCUCCAACCCGCCUCUUCCUGUUCUGGUGGCCUAUGGUGCCCCUCACUCUCCCCGUGCUGGGUCGUGUCCUACGACGGGAUACUCCAUGUGCGGGCAACCUUCACACCUCUCAAGUCCAAAGAGCACUUUUGCCUCCCAUUUCUCCUUCCCUUUUUUUGCCAGCCCUGCAUUGGUUGGUGACAGCCAGUUGUCGGAAUCGUAUGUUGGCAUGGGUGUUGUGUUCAGGAGGCAUCGGUGUGCUGUGCUAA
rnacentral:rRNA from 1 species